CCUAAACAUUCAGCUGAAAUAGUCAUAAUGCAUCAGCUUUUACACUCUGGAAAGCUAAUAUUACAGCACAUAAGUGCACAAAACCCCCCAUGGCAAGUGCACCUGUGGGAGAUCUUUGUAUCGUUGAAUAAUGCAAAGUGAAGCACUGGAGAAACAAUCUGUAAAAGGAUGGUAUUUAUUGUUUCCUAGCCUUGAAGUCAUCUGUAAUCCUCUUUUCAAAACCAAAACCAAUCUCUGCAACUACCUUGCAUUUGUGUCUGCUGUUAUCCUGCGAGUGACUAUGAAAUGUAGGGGGGGAGCUGAGAUGUGUCACAUAUGUCCCUGAUGUGAAGUAGAAAGUUCUGAUCAACGCUUCAACUUUCUGUCCGCAGUGCCUGAAAAAUGGGUAACGGUUUUUUGAGACAGUGCUGUCCUUGGCUGUUUGCAGAGCCACGUUUUUCCAUUUCAAACCCAUUAAAUCGGCGUAAAUGCUGAUCCCUGAGGAAAGUACAGGAACAUGCAGCAAUAGUUCCUUUAUCUAAUUUCCCAGGGACUGAAUGGUGACGUAAUGACAAUACAGAGAAAUACUUCUUUAAGAUUUUUCAUACAUGUAGAAACUGCAGCUCCUCUCAAGCAAUGAAUUCCAGUAGCUUUUGACUAGGUGCAAAGAGGUUUGGAGCCUGUUGGGAUUGCUCCUUCUGUGAAUCUGAAGUACGUCCUGCCUUGUCUUUCCCAAGCUUUUAGACAGGCCAUCUUCUAUCGCUGCGCUGGUUCUCAGCUGUCUCGUGUCUGGCAUUGUGCUUUCCCUCAGUAAUCACUCCUUAUAGUCUGUCUGCCUUUUUUUACGUUACUCCCUCCCUGAAUCACUUAUCUUGCUUCUUCAGUUGCUUUUUGCUUCUUCAGUUGCACGACAAAAAACUUAAGCGCAAAGCUUGCAUUUGGGGGAUUUUUUGGUUUGGUUUUUUUUUAAGUCCAGCAAAGCUGAUAACUCCACUGUUCCUGAAAGUGGGCCUUUUUUCCCUGUAUGGUUGUGGUUGCUUACAGAACUUUGCUCCUCGCUUCACCACCUGCAGCACCGUUGAGCGAUGCGCAUUGGCUGACACCCCUGCGCGGAGCACUUACCAGCUCUGUGCUGCACAGGUACUUCCCACUUCUUCAUGCCUCAAGCAUGAGGCCUAGAGGAUACUGUUAUCUUUUUAGCAAGAUUAAGAAGCCACAGAGCGUGGAGAGGGAUUGAUAUUUUAUUUACAACUUUUGUGAGCGUAAAGGUGUUUUCUUACAGCUCUUAGCCCCGUAUUUCUCCACCUUUUUUCUGCAGUUGCUUUAAUUGCUUGUUUCUGCCCUGUUUCCCUCUCUGGCCGCAAUGUCCACUCGCAAUGGCAGAAGUUCGCGUUCCGAAAGGCCAGCCAGCGCUGGGCCCUGCGCCUUCGGCGGGAUGCGGGAUCGAGGCCGCGGCAUCGCGCGCAGUGAGGCUGCAGCGGGAGAAGCCGCUGCUCACCCUGCGGGCGGAGGCUCCCGCGGCGCCUCAUCUCCAGCUUCUUUCACGGCCGGUGUCGCACCGAGCCGCCCGGUCAGCGGGGGCCGAGGCGCAGCAAUUACGUUCACCGGGCUCGGCAGAAGCCGCCCUUCCUCGGAGACCGCCCGCCUGACGGUGCCGCUGGCCGCCUCGGGCGCAGGCGCUGCUGCUGGCGCCGGCCGGGCCCGGCGCUGAGGGGACAAGCGGCUCCGGCAGGGCGGGGACGGACGGACGGACGGACGUUUCCUCACGGCGGCGCCUCGCCCGGCCCUGCGGCUGCGCGCCCGAACCCUCGCCGGCAUGGCGCGGCUGGGGGCACCGCAGCCUCGGCAGGUGAUGGCUGCUGCCAUUGAAUCAACAAGCUUUGAGGAGGAACAGCUUCCUAAUGAGAGAAAAACUAUGACCUGGAAGCCCAGAAAAGAUAAGCCUAAAAUAUUAGGACAAAACAAAGCAGACGAAUGUUUGCUGAAGAAUAUUCCAAAUGUUCUUGAUAGUGAGUCUGAAGAAAGUGAAUUCUCUGAUACCUCUCACAAUGAAAAUGAUGUCAGUGGCUCUCCUGUUGACUCUGUUCAUAUACAUCCUGACCUGGAAGACUUGGGUGGUGAAGUCUCCAGUAUGCCUGAGGCUGUAACUUUUCCAGAGCUGCAAACUGCUUCUGUGUAUGGGGUGGAGGACUGGGAUAAAGAAUUGGAGGACUCUGAAUGUAAUCCUUACGAUGCUGGCGAUCUCCACUGUGGAAGCUUUCAGGAAAAUAAUCUUUUGGCCUCGUACUCAUGGCGAGAGGAUUCGUUUUACAACCCAGGCUGUCACCAUGCAGCUUGCCUUGCUUUUACGCCACCAGUUAGAAUGACUGAGACUGGCCAGUUUGAUGAUGCUGAUGAAUGAGGUUGACCCUGGUCAGAACUAAGUUUGGCUUCUGAGUUGGAUUAUGUUCUUCACCAAUUGAGUCAUGUCAAGUCCUUUGGCUUGCUUGCAGAGUUCUGUGUAAGGCCAGAAAUGCUACACCAUGUCUGAAGUUUUGCUUAGACUGCUUCUGAGCUGUUUAUAAAUUGACCACGCUUGACCUCUGGAAAUGAGAGUGCAGGUGCUAGCUGUUAAAACUGACACCACCCCCACCAGCUUUGGAAAAAACGGCAUGAGGAUUUUACAGCAGAGAUGCAUUGCGCUCUCUAGAGAGAUGUUGGCAAACGUAACUUUGUUCGUCUUGGCCCUGCUUGUUAGGGAAGGGGCUUAAUGUAAAGCUUGAUCUGAAUACACUCAAACUUCAGUGGGAUUAGAAAACCAGAUGCAGACUUCUCAGAAAGCAUCUCUCUGGAAGGAUUUGAAACCAAGCUCAUGGAUUCCAAUGUUUCUGCACUACAGAGCGUUUCAAAUUCCAUUGUGAAUCUUGCACUGAGCCUGUUUUGUGUUGACAUAAGCGUGUCAUUCUAGGCAAGAAUAUGUUGCAAUUAAAACCAACAUAAGGUAACACAUGAGCCAGCAAUUCAAGCCAAGAGCAUCAACCUUUCAGCAUGCUCAAAUUAUUGGAGGGAAAAGAGUCCAGUUACAGGAGCAAGAUCGUAAAUAUUUUACAAGAAAUGCA